UCCAACCCAGAGGAGUACAGAGGGGGUGAGUGGGCUUUGCAAUAUCCUACCCUAGGGGUCUGAAGACAAGACUCUGGGAGGCCUGGAGCACAGGGCAGAGAAGGCUCUGUCCCCUGGGAGUGGCUGGCCUCUAAGAAACUCCUGCCUAGCUCCUGGCAACUGACAUGUGGUCACUUACUAGUGACUGCCUGAGCCUGGGGCCCCCGGUGGAUGCUGGGCAGUCUGGGGAAGCGGCAGGUCUUAGGCUCCAAGACCCAGGGUCCAGAUCAGCAAAGUCAACAGAAGACACCCAGUGCUUACUGGGUGCCAGGCACCGCUCUAAGGCUGCCCACUCCGGGCUGCACUGGGUCCUCCCUGAACCUGCUUUCAGGCUGCGUGAAGCCAGCACCCGUGCGACUUGCCCUGGUCACUCUCACCGUUGUGUGACAUGCCCAGUGCCAGGCAUUUCUGGAAGCGGCAGUACUGGCACUUGUUGCGGUUCUUCUUCUGGAUCUUGCAGCUCCGCUCACACUUCUCAUACUCCAGCUUCAUGCGGAUCGUCCGACGGAAGAAGCCCUGAGGGACCGAGGACAGGCGAGGAGAGAGGUGGUGGUUUAAUAAAACAAUUUGUGAAAUUUUGAUGGUGUGAAGUUAGGAGGAAGGACCCAGAAGGAUCACUGGAAAAGGAAAUGCCACGUUUCCUUUUUUCUCAAAGAGCCCCCUUCAAGCCUUGAGACACAGGAGACUGACCUCAGGUCCCCUUUGGGUCACAGGAGUAGCAGCAGGAAACCUCCCUUCGCCCUCCUGGCCACAGGAGGAGCAGGGCACAAGUAGCACCCGACUGCGGCAGAGGACCCAGUGGUCUGUUCCCCUCCUGGCUGUGCCCCAGGUGUGUUGGCACCUCUGGAAGCCCUGGAAAAAGCCAAGAUGCCUGAACCCCACUGGCCACUAGAGGUACACAG